CCUACGGUGAGCAGCAGUGAGGAAUAUUGGUCAAUGGACGCAAGUCUGAACCAGCCAUGCCGCGUGCAGGAAGACGGCUCUAUGAGUUGUAAACUGCUUUUGUACGAGGGUAAACGCAGAUACGCGUAUCUGUCUGAAAGUAUCGUACGAAUAAGGAUCGGCUAACUCCGUGCCAGCAGCCGCGGUAAUACGGAGGAUUCAAGCGUUAUCCGGAUUUAUUGGGUUUAAAGGGUGCGUAGGCGGUCGGAUAAGUUAGAGGUGAAAUCCCGAGGCUCAACUUCUGAAUUGCCUCUGAUACUGUUCGGCUAGAGAGUAGUUGCGGUAGGCGGAAUGUAUGGUGUAGCGGUGAAAUGCUUAGAGAUCAUACAGAACACCGAGUGCGAAGGCAGCUUACCAAGCUACUUCUGACGUUGAGACACGAAAGCGUGGGGAGCAAACAGGAUUAGAUACCCGGGUAGUC
rnacentral:rRNA from 1 species